UACGUAGGGUGCGAGCGUUGUCCGGAAUUAUUGGGCGUAAAGAGCUCGUAGGCGGUUUGUCGCGUCUGCUGUGAAAACGCGAGGCUCAACCUCGCGCCUGCAGUGGGUACGGGCAGACUGGAGUGCGGUAGGGGAGAUUGGAAUUCCUGGUGUAGCGGUGGAAUGCGCAGAUAUCAGGAGGAACACCGAUGGCGAAGGCAGAUCUCUGGGCCGUAACUGACGCCUGGAGGAGCGGAAAGCGUGGGGAGCGAACAGG
rnacentral:rRNA from 1 species